GACGAACGCUGGCGGCGUGCUUAACACAUGCAAGUCGAACGGAAAGGCCCUGCAUUUGUGGGGUGCUCGAGUGGCGAAAGGGUGAGUAACACGUGAGUAACCUGCCCUUGACUUUGGGAUAACUUCAGGAAACUGGGGCUAAUACCGGAUAGGAGCUCCUGCUGCAUGGUGGGGGUUGGAAAGUUUCGGCGGUUGGGGAUGGACUCGCGGCUUAUCAGCUUGUUGGUGGGGUAGUGGCUUACCAAGGCUUUGACGGGUAGCCGGCCUGAGAGGGUGACCGGCCACAUUGGGACUGAGAUACGGCCCAGACUCCUACGGGAGGCAGCAGUGGGGGAUAUUGCACAAUGGGCGGAAGCCUUAUGCAGCAACGCCGCGUGCGGGAUGACGGCCGUCGGGUUGUAAACCGCUUUCGCCUGUGACGAAGCGUGAGUGACGGUAAUGGGUAAAGAAGCACCGGCUAACUACGUG
rnacentral:rRNA from 1 species